GCUGGGGCUCAGUGGCAGAGCAAUUGCCUGGCAUGUGUGAGACACUGAGUUCGAUCCUCAGCACUGCA
rnacentral:tRNA from 1 species